UCAUUUAUUCGUGACCAGGAGAUACAAACUGCAAACACCGAAGUCUUAGAUUGGCUGAAAAAAAUAUCCAGUGAUUUGUCUUCCGUCAAAUAGGGAGAAUGUAGUAUGGUACCUUGUUCGCCUCAAACGAAGAAUUUCAAUCUACACGAUCUACUUGGAUAGUAGAAACCAAAAAAAUGUAACACAUUGCAUCGUUGACAACUAUAUUGGUUUAGGACGCAAAAUGCAAUACUCAGAUAUGAGGGAAUGGGAGAAUGAAAUUGUUGUGGUAUUUACUAAAGAAAAGAAGGAAUUUUAUUUUUGGAAAGAAAAAUGGGAAAAAAGAAUCCGAGUGAUAAAUUGUUCUCGCGUUGGGCUAAUAUCAUAAAGUUGGAAAACAAAGCCAAUUAUGUUACCCAGGAAGCUCAUGAAGAUGUUUUUGACGAUAACGUAUUGGAAAAAAGUGUUGGUUGGCACAUAACUGCACACCUUGGGAAAAAGUUAAAAAGUUUUGGGUAGAUACAUGCACAUUUAGAAAUAAAUGUAAGGGAUCUCUAUCGGAUUUGCUAGCAGACAGGCCGCGCUACAAUGAUUUUAACGGUUACGAAUUGAUAUUGGAAACGAGCUGUUCUUAAAACUUGACAAGUUUUAUAAAGUAAUCUUUCCUAUCUUAAAUGCGGAAGUAAAGACCAAGCCAG